rnacentral:rRNA from 1 species
AUUGAACGCUGGCGGCAGGCCUAACACAUGCAAGUCGAACGCGUGGCGGACGGGUGAUUAAUGUCUGGGAAACUGCCUGAUGGAGGGGGAUAACUACUGGAAACGGUAGCUAAUACCGCAUACCAUCGGAUGUGCCCCGAUGGGAUUAGCUAGUAGGUGGGGUAAUGGCUCACCUAGGCGACGAUCCCUAGCUGGUCUGAGAGGAUGACCAGCCACACUGGAACUGAGACACGGUCCAGACUCCUACGGGAGGCAGCAGUGGGGAAUAUUGCACAAUGGGCGCAAGCCUGAUGCAGCCAUGCCGCGUGUAUGAAGAAGGCCUUCGGGUUGUAAAGUACUUUCAGCGAGGAGGCGUUACUCGCAGAAGAAGCACCGGCUAACUCCGUGCCAGCAGCCGCGGUAAUUC